AGUCCGAGGUGUAAUUGUAGGAGAAGCUUUGGGUGGUUGGUCCGGCCUUAAGUGCCUUGGAACAGGACGUCGUAGAGGGUGAGAAUCCCGUAUGCGGCUGGGACGGGCGCCCGUGUAAAGCUCUUUUGACGAGUCGAGUUGUUUGGGAAUGCAGCUCAAAAUGGGUGGUAAAUUUUAUCUAAAGCUAAAUAUGGGCCAGAGACCGAUAGCGCACAAGUAGAGUGAUCGAAAGAUGAAAAGUACUUUGGAAAGAGAGUUAAACAGUACGUGAAAUUGUUGAAAGGGAAGCGCUUGCAACCAGACUUGGGCGUCGCUGAUCAUCCAAAGUUUUCUUUGGUGCACUUGACGAUGCACAGGCCAGCAUCGGUUGGGGUGGUGGGAGAAAGGUCGUAGGAACGUAGCUCUUUUCGGGGAGUGUUAUAGCCUGCGGCGCAAUACCGCCUACCCUGACCGAGGACCGCGCUUCGGCUAGGAUGCUGGCGUAAUGGUUGUAAGCGACCCGUCUUGAAACACGGACCAAGGAGUCUAACAUCUAUGCGAGUGUUUGGGUGCAAAACCCAUACGCGUAAUGAAAGUGAACGUAGGUGAGAACCC
rnacentral:rRNA from 1 species